GACAGAGGGUGCAAGCGUUAAUCGGAAUGACUGGGCGUAAAGGGCGUGUAGGUGGUAAUUUAGGUUUGAUGUGAAAGCCCCGGGCUCAACCUGGGAACCGCGCUUGAGACUGGCACGCUAGAGUUCGGGAGAGGAUGGUGGAAUUCCCAGUGUAGAGGUGAAAUUCGUAGAUAUUGGGAAGAACACCGAUGGCGAAGGCAGCCAUCUGGACCGACACUGACGCUGAGGCGCGAAAGCGUGGGGAGCAAACAGG
rnacentral:rRNA from 1 species